GAUGAACGCUGGCGGCGUGCCUAAUACAUGCAAGUCGAGCGAACGGACGAGAAGCUUGCUUCUCUGAUGUUAGCGGCGGACGGGUGAGUAACACGUGGAUAACCUACCUAUAAGACUGGGAUAACUUCGGGAAACCGGAGCUAAUACCGGAUAAUAUUUUGAACCGCAUGGUUCAAAAGUGAAAGACGGUCUUGCUGUCACUUAUAGAUGGAUCCGCGCUGCAUUUGCUAGUUGGUAAGGUAACGGCUUACCAAGGCAACGAUGCAUAGCUGACCUGAGAGGGUGAUCGGCCACACUGGAACUGAGACACGGUCCAGACUCCUACGGGAGGCAGCAGUAGGGAAUCUUCCGCAAUGGGCGAAAGCCUGACGGAUCAACGCCGCGUGAGUGAUGAAGGUCUUCGGGUCGUAAAACUCUGUUAUUAGGGAAGAACAUAUGUGUAAGUAACUGUGCACAUCUUGACGGUACCUAAUCAGAAAGCCACGGCUAACUACGUG
rnacentral:rRNA from 1 species